rnacentral:rRNA from 1 species
GCGAAAGCAUUCAUCAAUUACUUCUUCUUUAAUCAAGAACGAAAGUUAGAGUAGCAAAGGCCAUUAGAUGCGGCUGUAGUUUUAACCAUAAACGAUGACAUCUCAGGAUAUCAUUGAUGGGGUUUUCUCUGUCGGUAUUUGUGUGGAGCAAUCCAUAUGAUGCCGCAGAAACUCACAAACCCCUUGUACGCUUGAUACACAGGAGUAAUCCUGUAUAUCGCCAAGUCCAAUGACGCACUGUGUGGGAAACCAACAAGCUGCCUUCGUGGAGUGUAUUUUGGCAACGAAGAAAUUUAAAAGAAUUGACGGAAGUAUCACCACCAGGAGUGGAUCGUGCGGCUUAAUUUGACUCAACGCGGGAAAUCUCACCAGAGCCGAACACCGUGAGGAAAGACAGACUGCAGCUCUUUCUUGAUUCUGUGAUUGUCAAAUGUAGUGCAUGGCCUUUGGGAAGUGAGUGGAUUG